GGUUUGGAAAUUGGAAUGAGUACAAUUUAAAUCCCUUAACGAUGAUCCACUGGAGGGCAAGCCUGGUGCCAGCAGCCGCGGUAAUUCCAGCUCCAGUAGCGUAUAUUAAAGUUGUUGCGGUUAAAAAGCUCGUAGUUGGAUUUCUGACGUGACUUGCCUGGCCCGCUCGGGUUUCCGUUGUGAGUGCCGGCGCGAGGUCCGUCUUCCCUUCUAGGGAGGCACGACUCCCGUUCUGCGGUGUGGUUGUGUCGCUCUAGAUCAAUUACUUUGAAAAAAUUAGAGUGUUUAAAGCAGGCUUUCGCUUUUGAAUACAUUAGCAUGGAAUAAUAACAUAGGACUUCGGCCUAUUUUGUUGGUUUCGAGGACGAAGUAAUGAUUGACAGGGAUAGUUGGGGGUGCUUGUAUUCAGCGUUCAGAGGUGAAAUUCUUGGAUCCGCUGAAGACAAACUUAUGCGAAAGCAUUCACCAAGGAUGUCUUCUUUAAUCAAGAACGAAAGUUGGGGGAUCGAAGACGAUCAGAUACCGUCGUAGUCUCAACCAUAAACUAUACCGACUAAGGAUGAGUAAACGUUGCAUUUUCGACUUCAUUUGCACUUUGUGAGAAAUCAAAGUCUUUGGGUUCCGGGGGGAGUAUGGUCGCAAGGCUGAAACUUAAAGGAAUUGACGGAAGGGCACCACCAGGAGUGGAGCCUGCGGCUUAAUUUGACUCAACACGGGAAAACUUACCAGGUCCAGACUCAGUAAGGAUUGACAGAUUGAAGAUCUUUCUUGAUUUUGAGGGUGGUGGUGCAUGGCCGUUCUUAGUUGGUGGAGUGAUCUGUCUGGUUAAUUCCGUUAACGAACGAGACCUCGACCUACUAAAUAGUGCCAAGAACCCUCGGGUUCUUCGGUCACUUCUUAGAGGGACUAUUGGUGUGUAGCCAAUGGAGGUUCGAGGCAAUAACAGGUCUGUGAUGCCCUUAGAUGUUCUGGACUGCACGUGCGCUACAAUGCGGGGUUCAACGAGCAUACAACCUUGACUGACAAGUCUGGGUAAUCUUCUGAAAGCCCUGCGUGCUGGGGAUAGAUUAUUGUAAUUAUUAAUCUUCAACGAGGAAUUCCUAGUAAACGCGAGUCAUCAACUCGCAUUGAUUACGUCCCUGCCCUUUGUACACACCGCCCGUCGCUACUACCGAUUGAAUGACUUAGUGAGUUUCAGGGAUCGCGCUCCAGUGUU
rnacentral:rRNA from 1 species